UACCUCAAAAUUCCGCAACAGUCUGUUUCAUCAGUAAAGAAUCAUCGGGCGCCUGAUGAUUCUUUACUGAUGAAACAGACUGUUGCGGAAUUU